rnacentral:lncRNA from 1 species
GGCUACCGUCCCUCCACGCGUCUCAGUCUUCCAGAGACUGCUUGAUCUCUCUCAUCUGCGGUCCUCUCCUCUCUCGUCCUCAUUGUCCUUGUGGGUUUAUGUGAACUCUCUGAGGGCAGAAAUGAUGACUUGUGCACUUUCAGUAUACUUCAGGGCCAAGGACCAGGGUUUAAGGGACAUUUGAAAUUUGAUUGACAUCUAUCCCUAACUACUCUGCAUUUUUUUUUUUAAGUAUUUUAACUGUUCUCUCUUGUCUAGCAUCUACAGCAGGUGUGUUCAACUGACAUCGUCUACUUGGGUGCCAUGUCCAGCUCUCUCUCUUUGUUCCCCCUGACCUGCUGGGAGGGAACCCAGUGUCUCACGUGUGCCAGGCCAGCGCUCCACCACUGAGCUACUGCUGCCACCCUCCAGCUCUGGACAGGUUGCUCGUGCCACUGCUUGUCUGCCAAGGAAGCCUGGAUCCUGCGGGCAUCAGCCCCUCGCCUGUGCCAAGCACCUCUGCCUGCUGUAGCCCGGCUGCCUUCCCUCUAGCCUCCCUGGAAAGGGGAGGAGAGGGGAAGCUCCAAGGAGCUGGAGGGCGCCAGUUUCUCUUCCUCUUUUGAGCAGAGGCAGGGCGCUCUUAAAAUAGCCUUUGGAGCUUGGGGAUAUGAGUACAGGAUAUACACACA